rnacentral:rRNA from 1 species
UACGUAGGGGGCAAGCGUUGUCCGGAUUUAUUGGGCGUAAAGAGCGUGUAGGCGGCCAUGCAGGUCCGUUGUGAAAACUCGAGGCUCAACCUCGAGACGCCGAUGGAAACCGCAUGGCUAGAGUCCGGAAGAGGAGAGUGGAAUUCCUGGUGUAGCGGUGAAAUGCGCAGAUAUCAGGAAGAACACCCGUGGCUAAGGCGGCUCUCUAGUACGGUACUGACGCUGAGGUGCGAAAGCGUGGGGAGCAAACAGG